UCCCCAUGAACNGAAAAAAUAGAUGCUCUGGUUGUUGCUUGGUUGCCUGGAAGUGAAAGCCAGGGAAUCACAGAUGUUAUCUUUGGAGAUUACGGGUUUCAUGGACGGCUUCCAGCGACGUGGUUUAAAAGUGUCGAUCAACUACCAUUGCAUAUUGGAAACCAAGAUUCAUACGACCCCUUGUUUCCUUUUGGCUUCGGGUUAAACUACGAAAACAAGGGGGAUUUGAACUCAACUGAUGCUAUGUAAUGGUAUGUUUGGUAUACUGGGUUGGACACUAGUGUUUAUAAUUCAAGAUCCAAGGAAGAAAAAUAAAGUUAAAUUUUUGUUAGUUGUACUGUAUACUGUGUAAUAUCCUCAUAUUAUAUUUUGUUUAUUUUCUUGCGUCUUUAGUUAAGUAUUAGGACUCUUAAUCAUAAAUAUCUUUUUAUUUGUGUCAUUGUCUAGAGUUGGUCAUUAUCUCGAGUAUGGUUGUUUUCCAGAUUUCAAUUAGGGUGUGUUUGAUUGUAAGUAUGGAGCUUUCAUAGAAAGAAAAUAAAUUUUAGGUAAUUAAAUUGUCAG
rnacentral:lncRNA from 1 species